UACGUAGGGUGCAAGCGUUGUCCGGAAUUAUUGGGCGUAAAGAGCUCGUAGGCGGUCUGUUGCGUCGGCUGUGAAAACCCGGGGCUCAACUCCGGGCCUGCAGCCGAUACGGGCAGACUAGAGUUCGGCAGGGGAGACUGGAAUUCCUGGUGUAGCGGUGAAAUGCGCAGAUAUCAGGAGGAACACCAAUAGCGAAGGCAGCUCGCUGGGACGUUACUGACACUGAGGCGCGAAAGCGUGGGGAGCGAACAGG
rnacentral:rRNA from 1 species